rnacentral:rRNA from 1 species
GAUGAACGCUGGCGGCGUGCCUAACACAUGCAAGUCGAACGGAAAGGCUCCUGCUUGCAGGGGUACUCAAGUGGCGAACGGGUGAGUAACACGUGGGUGAUCUGCCCUGCACUUCGGGAUAAGCCUGGGAAACUGGGUCUAAUACCGGAUAGGACGAUGGUUUGGAUGCCAUUCUGGAAAGUUUUUUCGGUGUGGGAUGAGUUCGCGGCCUAUCAGCUUGUUGGUGGGGUAAUGGCCUACGAAGGCGUCGACGGGUAGCCGGCCUGGGAGGGGGGACGGCCACAAUAGGACUGAGGUACGGCCCAGACGCGUACGGGAGGCAGCGGUGGAGAGUAUUGUACAGUGGGGGCAAGCCUGAUGCAGCGACGCCGCGUGGGGGAUGACGGCCUUCGGGUUGUAAACUCCUGUCGCUGGGGACGAAGCGCUAGUGACGGUACCUGGAGAAGAAGCACCGGCUAACUACGUG